UUAAGCCGAUGCUGAGGCCCUGGCUGUGGUCCUCUGUUCCAUCCUGCCUCUGGGGCCCCAAGAGGGCAAACGACGCCACAUUGAACUGUUCUGUCAUCACUAUGAAAAUGUGGCUCCCUUCUCCAAAGAAACAGUCCAGCAGAAGAGCACAAACAUGCACGAAGCUGGAGUUAAUCGCUGCAGGAGGUUGACGCAUGCAAGGAAGAAGUUGAGCGACAUCAGCUCUGCAGGACGCGUGCCGUCUCUGUCCCCACUCGCUGUCAGCUCCCUGCAGGCCUGCCCUCCCUGGUGAUCCCGGGUCACAGGACAGACUCCACUUCUGAGGCUCCAUCUUCUCCCUCUGGGAGCCAAGUACGACUCCCACAGGUACACGGUGGCUCUGCAUAGGCUGUAAAUGACCAUUGUCUCCUCUCUCGGGACUGAGGUGCUCCUCUGCGGCUGCUCAUGGGAAGGACUGAUCAAGAGGCUCCUGCUUAUCUUGAGAUAAUUCUGGCGAAUUCAGAGAAUUCUGAACAGGGGUGUUUAGGCUCAGAGCCCCCAGUGUUUUAAGUAACAAACAAAUGAGAAACUAUCAGGAUUAAGACAGGC